rnacentral:rRNA from 1 species
AGAGUUUGAUUCUGGCUCAGAACGAACGCUGGCGGCGUGGAUAAGACAUGCAAGUCGAACGGGACAGUCUGGUAGCAAUAUUAGGCUGUUCAGUGGCGAACGGGUGCGUAACACGUGGGUAACAUGCCGGGAAGAGGAGAAUAGCCCAGGGAAACUUGGAUUAAUGCUCCAUGUGGUCGCAAGACUAAAGACGGGGCAACCUGUCGCUUCCUGAUUGGCCCGCGGCCUAUCAGCUAGUUGGUGAGGUAACGGCUCACCAAGGCGACGACGGGUAGCUGGUCUGAGAGGAUGACCAGCCACACUGGAACUGAGACACGGUCCAGGCACCUACGGGUGGCAGCAGUCGAGAAUCUUUCACAAUGGGGGCAACCCUGAUGGAGCGACGCCGCGUGGAGGAUAAGGUCUUCGGAUUGUAAACUCCUGUCAUGCGAGAGUAAGGCCAACGUGUUAACUGCACGGUGGAUUGACAGUACCGCAAGAGGAAGAGACGGCUAACUCUGUGCCAGCAGCCGCGGUAAUACAGAGGUCUCAAGCGUUGUUCGGAAUUACUGGGCGUAAAGGGUGCGUAGGCUGCGCAGAAAGUCAGGUGUGAAAUCCGGGAGCUCAACUUCCGAAUUGCAUCCGAUACUCCUGUGCUAGAGGAUUGGAGAGGAGCUUGGAAUUCUCGGUGUAGCAGUGAAAUGCGUAGAGAUCGAGAGGAACACUAGUGGCGAAGGCUGGGCUCUGGACAAUAUCUGACGCUGAGGCACGAAGGUCAGGGGAGCAAACGGGAUUAGAUACCCCGGUAGUCCUGACAGUAAACGGUGCACGCUUGGUGUGGGGAGUGACCCUCUCUGUGCCGAAGCUAACGCGAUAAGCGUGCCGCCUGGGAAGUACGAUCGCAAGAUUAAAACUCAAAGAAAUUGACGGGGACCCGCACAAGCGGUGGAGUAUGUGGCUUAAUUCGAUGCAACGCGAAGAACCUUACCUGGCCUUGACAUGCAUUGUGUCUCCGGUGAAAGCCGGAUAGCGUAGCAAUACGCGCUUUGCACAGGUGCUGCAUGGCUGUCGUCAGCUCGUGUCGUGAGAUGUUGGGUUAAGUCCCGCAACGAGCGCAACCCCUGUAGUCCGUUGCCACCGGUUCAUUCCGAGCACUUGGACUAGACUGCCCAGAUCAACUGGGAGGAAGGUGGGGAUGACGUCAAGUCCGUAUGGCCCUUACGGCCAGGGCUGCACACGUACUACAAUGCCCAGCACAAAGUGAACCGAGACCGCGAGGUGGAGGAAAUCGAGAAAGCUGGGCUCAGUUCAGAUUGCAGGCUGCAACUCGCCUGCAUGAAGUUGGAAUCGCUAGUAAUGGUACAUCAGCUACGGUACCGUGAAUACGUUCCCGGGUCUUGUACACACCGCCCGUCACAUCAUGGAAGCUGGCUUCGCCCAAAGAGCGUGCGCCAACCGCAAGGAGGCAUCGUUUUAAGGCAAGGCUGGUAACUGGGAUGAAGUCGUAACAAGGUAGCCGUAGGGGAACCUGCGGCUG